rnacentral:lncRNA from 1 species
CGUUGAUUCUUUUUUUAAUUGGUAUCAUUGUGUUUUUUAAUACUUUAAUAUUUAUAUAUAUAUGCAUGUGUGUGUGUGUGUUUUCUCUAUUUUCUUGUCGUUAAGAUUCAAUCAAAAUUUCAUUUUGUAAGAUUUAUUCCCCUAUUGAAACUCGUUCUUGUCCAGUAAUAAAUUCCUUGAACGAGGUUAAAAAGGGAAAUAAAUUUACUUUUCAUGAAGUUAAUUAGUUUUUUAUAUAGAGCCCGUUUUUAAGUAUAGAAACCGUACUGACCAAAAUAAAUUUUUCAAACAAUAAGAAUCUCAUAAAGUUAGAUUAUAUUUCUCAUUUUUAUCGGACUUGUCCAGUAAUUUAAUUCCCGAGUAAUACGAAUGUUUGAACAAAUCCGCAUUUAGUAAGAUUGUAUUUCUCAUUUUAAUCGUUCUUGU